UACGUAGGGUGCGAGCGUUAAUCGGAAUUACUGGGCGUAAAGCGUGCGCAGGCGGUGAUGUAAGACCGAUGUGAAAUCCCCGGGCUUAACCUGGGAACUGCCGUCCAAACUGAGCGACUUGAGUCCGGGAGAGGUAAGUGGAAUUCCCAGUGUAGCGGUGAAAUGCGUAGAUAUUGGGAAGAACACCGGUGGCGAAGGCGGCUCUCUGGACCGUAACUGACGCUGAGGCGCGAAAGCGUGGGGAGCAAACAGG
rnacentral:rRNA from 1 species